rnacentral:rRNA from 9 species
GAGCCGGGCACUAUGGUAAGAUGUGAAAACACCCGAUCCCAUUUCGACCUCGAUAUGUGAAAUCGUCUUAGACCAUAUGUACUGAUUCAUCAAUUUCGGGAGACAUGGUCCACGCCCGGACA